UAGCGGCUACAUCCUCAACGGUCCAAGAAUGUUGUGGAUGCGUCUGUGACUGUCCUGCCUACUACCGGCGAAGCAACUUUUGGCUUUUGUGUGUUGGACUGUACGGUGCAACCCUGGCCUGAGCCUAGCAUGGCUGAAGCCUUACCGUGCAAGGAGGCGCUAUCUUGGAUUAAGGGCAAGAGGCUAGCUAACAUCUUACUCCACCACCACGCAACCAUCACCUCCACUGCCACAGCGGCCGCUGAUUGCUUCAGGCGCCUAUCCGACGCCACUGUCGACGUUGCGUUGCCACUGCCUCCCCUACGAAGACACCACAGCCAACGUCCCACCUGCCUGAAGAACGACGACGACGCACUUAACCCUUACGACUACAAGUCUCCUUCCCUGAGUGAGCCACAACUUUAAUUGAGCCCUAAUUUGUUGGAAUUCGAAGCUGGUUCGACUGAGGCUUGUGUUUAUUUCUGGUUUUGCGGGUUAUUUUCCCCAUUUUUGGGUUCUCAUUGAGCGUAUUGGGAUUCUUCGAUUGAGUGAAGGUGGGGAUUCCAGAGUUCUUGACUUUUCUUCGCUGUUUUUCUUUUCUUUCUGAGCCAGCUUUGCAGCUAGGCUUUGUUCUGAAGAAAGACUCUUUACUCUAUGAAAGGCAUGCCAGGUAUAUGUUGAAAAGUAGUUGGAUGAAUUGUAUAAGUAACCGCAAUGUAGAGCAUUUAGCAUAUUGGCAUGGUAGAAUGGACUAUAGAGAUUGUUCAGGUGCAGUUUCUAUUGUUCAAAAUUAUUUAAAUUGAAGCUGGCAAAGCCAAUUGCAUAUUCAGGUGAACUUUUAUGAUGAUAUGCUGGAAAUUGUGUUUAUUUCUAUAUUCUUCUCCUGCUUCUAGCAAGAAUUAUAUCCUAGUGGUUUUGAGUGUUUCUUUGUCUUGGAGACCUUUGUUGUUUCCGCUUGCGUUAGAUGGCUAACUGGCUUUUGGUAACUUAGACUUCUACAGGAUGUUUCUUUAUGUAAGAAAUCAACAAAUUCAGUGCCUUGGAUAUCAAUGACCUUUCCUUUCAAGCUUUUAUUGGGCCCUAUAAGUUAGGUGGUAUUUGGCUGCUUGCUUUCUAUCAAGUAUGCAGAGCUUCCUGUAGAAUGAGCAAUUGAUCUCUCCCAGUACUCAUACCACCACUGGGCCCAAUUCUUUUUGAAAAGUGAUUACAGAUGGCCUUGAUGUGUAUCACUGCAUAUAUAAAUUGUCAGUCAUUCAUAAAUGUCCAUAACUCUUAGUGGACUUUGAGCUUUGAGUGGAGACAUUGGGUAAACUUUAGCUCUAUGCUGUGCUUGAUUGCACUCAAAAAUAAGGUCGGCCAACCAACGGGAUAUAAACCUGACAAAUAUACAAUCCCUUAAGUGUAAAACUUUAAGUCAUUUAUCUCGUGUCACCACAAGUUGUGCACAAGGAGCCAAAGUGGCAAGUUUACUAUGCUCUGGAUAUGGUAUGGUCUUUAAUAGGUGGCACUGGUUUAAGGUGGGAGUGGAAAAGUGGUUGACAGCAAAGCUGAUGAUAGGAUUUUCAUCUAUUAUAAAGAUCAUGGAGGUCCUGGAGUUCUUGGGAUGCCCAAUUUGCCUCAUCUUUAUGCCAAUGAUUUCAUUCAAGUGUUGAAGAAAAAGCAUUCUGCAGGCACCUACAAAGAGAUGUGAAAUAGUCUCUCUCUUCUCGUCCAUAUAUAUGCCGAAGUGGAAGGAGUUAUUCUAAAAAAAGACUUGACGUACUCGCCAUACUUUGAUGGAUGGUGUAUUUGCUAUCCUUCCUCUAAAGCUGUGUGAAGAUGCGAUUAUUUUUAGCAUCUCUAAUGUAUAGCUAAGAAUUUGGUGCAUUUAGAGAACUGCUUCUCCAAUUCCAUCUUGUUGUGUUGGUUGAAUUGUGAGUCUUUAGUAUUUACAAAGUUAGUAUGAAACAUUUCAUUUUGGUAGUGAUAAAUGAAGUCUUUUAAUA